UACGUAGGGUGCAAGCGUUAAUCGGAAUACUGGGCGUAAAGCGUGCGCAGGCGGUUGUGCAAGACAGAUGUGAAAUCCCCCGGGCUUAACCUGGGAAUUGCAUUUGUGACUGCACGGCUAGAGUGUGUCAGAGGGGGGUAGAAUUCCACGUGUAGCAGUGAAAUGCGUAGAUAUGUGGAGGAAUACCGAUGGCGAAGGCAGCCCCCUGGGAUAACACUGACGCUCAUGCACGAAAGCGUGGGGAGCAAACAGG
rnacentral:rRNA from 1 species